GCCUGGCUAGCUCAGUCGGUAGAGCAUGUGACUCUUGAUCUCAGGGUCAUGAGUUCAAGCCCCACAUUAGGCG
rnacentral:tRNA from 1 species